GCCGACGUAGCUUAGUGGUAAAGCAUCCGACUUGUAAUCGGAUGAACGCAGGUUCGACUCCUGCCGUCGGCU
rnacentral:tRNA from 1 species